rnacentral:rRNA from 1 species
UCUACGGGAGGCAGCAGCAAGGAAUCUUCCCCAAUGGGCGCAAGCCUGAGGGAGCAACGCCGCGUGGAGGAUGACGGCUUUCGGGUUGUAAACUCCUUUUCUGCGGGAAGACAGGGACGGUACCGCAGGAACAAGCCCCGGCUAACUCUGUGCCAGCAGCCGCGGUAAGACAGAGGGGGCAAGCGUUGUCCGGAAUUACUGGGCGUAAAGCGCGCGCAGGCGGUUGUGUAUGUGCCUGGUGACAGUCUCUCGCUCAACGAGAGGAGGCCUGGGUAGACAGCAUAGCUGGAGGCAGGGAGAGGGUGAUGGAAUGCCCGGUGGAGCGGUGAAAUGCGUAGAGAUCGGGCGGAACACCAGUGGGGAAGCCGGUCACCUGGCCCUGGCCUGACGCUGAGGCGGGAUAGCGUGGGGAGCAAACGGGAUUAGAUACCCCGGUAGUCCUCGCCGUAAACGAUGUGGAGCCGGUGUCGGGCUGCAAGUACGCGGCUCGGUGCCCAAGUUUACACGAUGACUCCCCCGCCUGGGGACUACGGCCGCAAGGCUAAAACUCAAAU